UACGAGGGGUGCAAGCGUUAUUCGGAAUUACUGGGCGUAAAGGGUGUGCAGACGGUUUUACAAGUCAGUUGUUAAAUCCCCCGGCCCAACCGGGGACCGGCGACUGAAACUGUAAUGACUUGAGUAUGAGAGAGAGAAGUGGAAUUCUUGGAGUAGCGGUAAAAUGCGUAGAUCUCAAGAGGAACACCAAUGGCGAAGGCAGCUUCUUGGCUCAUUACUGACGUUGAAACACGAAAGCGUGGGGAGCAAACAGG
rnacentral:rRNA from 1 species